UACGUAGGGUGCAAGCGUUGUCCGGAAUUAUUGGGCGUAAAGAGCUCGUAGGCGGUCUGUCGCGUCAGCUGUGAAAACCUGGGGCUCAACCCCGGGCCUGCAGCCGAUACGGGCAGACUAGAAUUCGGUAGGGGAGACUGGAAUUCCUGGUGUAGCGGUGAAAUGCGCAGAUAUCAGGAGGAACACCGGUGGCGAAGGCGGGGUCUCUGGGCCGAUAUUGACGCUGAGGAGCGAAAGCGUGGGGGAGCAAACAGG
rnacentral:rRNA from 1 species